UGACCACGAGACCGAUAGCGGACAAGUACCGUGAGGGAAAGUUGAAAAGAACUUUGAAGAGAGAGUUAAACAGUACGUGAAACCGUUCGGGGGUAAACGGACAGAGCCCGUGAAUCCGAGCAACGGAAUUCAGAUUCGAAGGCGUUCGCGCGUCGUCGGAUCGAUGUUUCCGUUGCAGUGUUUUUUCGGACGUCGCGACCCGUUCGGUGUCGGUCUGAGGAGACGUGUUAAAGUUCGUUGGCGUGUGUUCGAAUCGUUUCGGCGGUUAGGCGCGCGUCUGCGAGUCGCGUUUUUUUUCUGGCCGACUCGCCGGACGGUAAGUGUAGCGGUGACCACGGCGACCUAGCGUCGUCGUUUUGGUACCGGUCUGCGACGAAUCUUCGGGCCUCUUUCCGACCCGUCUUGAAACACGGACCAAGGAGUCUAACGUGCGCGCGAGUCGCGGGGUGUCGAGCAGCUGGCCAGCGUUGGCUGCUCGUUACAAUACGAAACCCGUCUCGUUUUACGAAAGGCGCAAUGAAAGUGAAUUUAGGGGAAGAUGACGUUACCGAGUUCACGUUCCGCGCUCUUGUAGCGCGGCCGGUCGUCCGCAUUCCCAGGGCGUCCCAACGGCCCGGCGGCGUUGCGGAUCGUCGUUCCUUCGGGGGCGGCGGUCGGGCGUCGUCGAACCGGGGCGCACCUAUAGCGUGCACGUUGGUACCCGAAAGAUGGUGAACUAUGCCCGGCCAGGAUGAAGUCAGGGGAAACCCUGAUGGAGGUCCGCAGCGAUUCUGACGUGCAAAUCGAUCGUCUGAGCUGGGUAUAGGGGCGAAAGACUAAUCGAACCAUCUAGUAGCUGGUUCCCUCCGAAGUUUCCCUCAGGAUAGCUGGCGUCGGAACACGAAUCGACGAAGCGCCUUCGGGCGUUUCGCUCGUCGGGUCGUCUCAUCCGGUAAAGCGAAUGAUUAGAGGCAUUGGGGCCGAAACGACCUCAACCUAUUCUCAAACUAUAAACGGGCGAGAUCGCAGGCUUUCCUGAUAAGUUGCGCGUUUCGGCGCGCGACAAAGCGAGAGAGUCCGGUCGGACGGCGUGUCGUCUCGGCGGCGCGUGCGGUUCGGCUCGGGCGCGAAGCCUGCGACGGAACCCUUGACGCUCAGUGGGCCAUUUUUGGUAAGCAGAACUGGCGCUGCGGGAUGAACCGAACGCCGAGUUAAGGCGCCAAAAUCGACGCGAAUUUCAGAGACCAUGAAAGGCGUUGGUCGCUGAUGACAGCAGGACGGUGGCCAUGGAAGUCGGAAUCCGCUAAGGAGUGUGUAACUACUCACCUGCCGAAGCAACUAGCUCUGAAAAUGGAUGGCGCUGGAGCGUCGUGCCUAUACUCGGCCGUCAGAGGCAGCGUGGGCUUUAGCGUUUUUUACGCGAAGACCCGGUACGCCCUGACGAGUAGGAGGGCGCGGCGGUGCGCGCAGAAGGGGAGGGCGUGAGCCUGCCUGGAGCCGCCGUCGGUGCAGAUCUUGGUGGUAGUAGCAAAUACUCGAGAGGGGCCCUCGGGGGCUGCCGUGGAGAAGGGUUUCUUGUGAACAGCCGUUGUCCAAGAGUCAGUCGAUCCUAAGCCCGGGGAGAAAUCCUACACUUAACGACGAUGACGAGAAGAACUCCUCGCGGUAGCGUGUGUGUGUGUUCGCGUGUCGUUCUUUUCACGCGCGCGCGCGUCUCGCACUACUUGUAGACGAUUCGCACGGAGCCCAAUCGAAUUCUCGCUCGAGAUGGUUGCGAUGGCCCGAUUUCUUCGCCGUUUCCGCGCGCUCGCGUGCGGGGCAGCGUUGUACAAUCGGCGAGUCAUCACGUGCAGGCGGGCACGGUAUUCGUUCGCGCGUACCGUGUGUAUGUCUUGCACGGGUUCCCCGAAUACGAAAGUGCGCUUAUUGUCUUUGUGCGUAGACGCGUGUUUCGCGGCGGUGGAGGUACGUAUGUAUGCGUGUGCACACGCGCGCGCGUUAAUAUCGCGUAAGGAAAUAGAAAAAUUCGACUCGAUCGUGUUUUGGGGCGAAAGGGAAUCCGGUCCGUAUUCCGGAACCCGGCGCGGAACCGCUCCCUAGUGUUCGGGGCCCUUAAACGCGCAGCGUCGCUUCGGUGUCGCUGUCGUGUGCCUCGUCCGGGUAACCGAAAUGAACCCGGAGACGUCGCCGGGGGGUCCGGGAAGAGUUCUCUUUUCUCUGUGAGCGUUGUACGUCCCUGGAAUCCGCUAGCCGGGAGAUAGGGACGCGAGCGCGAAGAGCACCGCUCGCUGCGGCGGUGUCCGUGAUCCCCACGCGAACCUUGAAAAUCCGGGAGAGGGCCACGCGGAGUCUUCGCGCCGGUUCGUACCGAUAUCCGCAGCAGGUCUCCGAGGUGAGCAGCCUCUAGCCGCAUAGAAUAAUGUAGGUAAGGGAAGUCGGCAAAAUCGAUCCGUAACUUCGGGAUAAGGAUUGGCUCUGAGGAUCGUGGCGGCUCGGGUUCGGGUUGCGCAGAAGCGGAGACGGGAAAGGCGGCGCCCUGCCGUUCGAUACCGCCCCUCGGGGUGGUAGUUGGGCGGCGUGGGAUGUCUGUCGCCCGGCUUCCGUGGAACCUCCGAACUUUGCGCGGCGGCGAAUCCGCGCGUCGUUAUCGUCGACACGCGGGCAACCGCGUUGUUAGGCGGUCGACGAUGUGCGGGCUCUCGCCGUCGACGCUAAUCGACUGCCAAGUAACGGUCAGCUCAGAACUGGCACGGACCAGGGGAAUCCGACUGUCUAAUUAAAACAAAGCAUCGUGAUGGCCCUCGCGGGUGUUGACACGAUGUGAUUUCUGCCCAGUGCUCUGAAUGUCAACGUGAAGAAAUUCAAGCAAGCGCGGGUAAACGGCAGGAGUAACUAUGACUCUUUUAAGGUAGCCAAAUGCCUCGUCAUCUAAUUAGUGACGCGCAUGAAUGGAUUAACGAGAUUCUCUCUGUCCCUAUUUACUUUCUAGCGAAACCACAGCCAAGGGAACGGGCUUGGAAAAAUCAGCGGGGAAAGAAGACCCUGUUGAGCUUGACUCUAGUCAGACUUUGUUGGUUCACUUGAGAGGUGUAGCAUAAGUGGGC
rnacentral:rRNA from 1 species